rnacentral:misc_RNA from 1 species
GGCAGCCGCGGUAAUUCCAGCUCCAAUAGCGUAUAUUAAAGUUGUUGCAGUUAAAAAGCUCGUAGUUGAAUUUCGAGAUCAAAUUGUUGGUCGUGCCUUGGUACGCACAGGCAUUAUUGGUUUCUCCCUUCUGACGAACCAUGAUGUCAUUAAUUUGGUGUCUUGGGGAGUCAGGACUGUUACUUUGAAAAAUUGAGUGUUUAAAGCAGGCUCACGCUUGAAUACAUUAGCAUGGAAUAAUGAAAUAGGACGUUUGAUUCUAUUUUGUUGGUUUCUAGGAUCGACGUAAUGGUUAAUAGGGAUAGUUGGGGGCAUUAGUAUUCAAUUGUCAGAGGUGAAAUUCUUGGAUUUAUUGAAGACUAACUACUGCGAAAGCAUUUGCCAAGGAUGUUUUCAUUAAUCAAGAACGAAAGUUAGGGGAUCGAAGACGAUCAGAUACCGUCGUAGUCUUAACCAUAAACUAUGCCGACUAGGGAUCGGAUGAUGUUAAUUUUUUAAUGACUCAUUCGGCGCCUUAAC